rnacentral:misc_RNA from 1 species
GGGCGGGCAUGCGAGACGUUCGCGCACGUCCCCUCGGCCGCCGCGAUGUUCA